rnacentral:rRNA from 1 species
CUANCGGUACUCGCGAAUGCAUNCGAUUGUUUAAGAUCCUGGCUCAGAUUGACCGCUGGCGUGAAUGCCUUACACAUGCAAGUCGAACGGUAACAGGUCUUCGGACGCUGACGAGUGGCGAACGGGUGAGUAAUACAUCGGAACGUGCCCAGUCGUGGGGGAUAACUACUCGAAAGAGUAGCUAAUACCGCAUACGAUCUGAGGAUGAAAGCGGGGGACCUUCGGGCCUCGCGCGAUUGGAGCGGCCGAUGGCAGAUUAGGUAGUUGGUGGGAUAAAAGCUUACCAAGCCGACGAUCUGUAGCUGGUCUGAGAGGACGACCAGCCACACUGGGACUGAGACACGGCCCAGACUCCUACGGGAGGCAGCAGUGGGGAAUUUUGGACAAUGGGCGAAAGCCUGAUCCAGCAAUGCCGCGUGCAGGAUGACGGCCUUCGGGUUGUAAACUGCUUUUGUACGGAACGAGAAAGCUCCUUCUAAUACAGAGGGAGCCCAUGACGGUAACCGUAAGAAUAAAGCACCGGCUAAACUACGUGCCAGCAGACCGGCUGGGUAAAUACCGAUACGGGGUGCGCAGCCGUUACAUCGGAAUUUACCUGGGGCGUAACANGCGUUGCCGCCACGC